rnacentral:rRNA from 1 species
CGUAGGACGCAAGCGUUAUCCGGAGUUACUGGGCGUAAAGCGCGGGCAGGCGGCUCGAUGCGUCUGAUGUGAAAUCUCCUCGCUCAACGGGGAGAGGCCAUUGGAAACGGUCGAGCUGGAGGGCAGUAGAGGCAGGCGGAAUUCCGGGUGGAGUGGUGAAAUGCGUAGAGAUCCGGAGGAACACCAGAGGCGAAGGCGGCCUGCUGGGCUGCACCUGACGCUGAGCCGCGAAAGCCAGGGGAGCGAACGGGAUUAGAAACCCCGGUAGUCCUGGCCGUAAACGAUGUGUGCUGGAUGAUGGCCCGAACGGGUCGUUGUCGAAGCUAACGCGAUAAGCACACCGCCUGGGGAGUACGGCCGCAAGGCUA